AUACUUUUUUCGGACUUCUGGCUAAGAUCAAAGUGUAGUAUUUGGUUUUAUCAGCUUAAUAUCUGAUACGGUCCCUAUUAAGGGACCAUCCAUGUUAAAUUGAUUUUUAGAACGAGGCGAAGAGUUAGGGGCUUGCUCCGCCUUUGCCACGGGUUGGCCUGGCAGUGCAGUGCAAGGGGCUGCCAUUGAGUU